rnacentral:rRNA from 1 species
GACGAACGCUGGCGGCGUGCCUAAUACAUGCAAGUCGAACGCAUUUUCUUUCACCGUAGCUUGCUACACCGAAAGAAAAUGAGUGGCGAACGGGUGAGUAACACGUGGGUAACCUGCCCAUCAGCGGGGGAUAACACUUGGAAACAGGUGCUAAUACCGCAUAAUUCCAUUUACCGCAUGGUAAAUGGAUGAAAGGCGCUUUUGCGUCACUGAUGGAUGGACCCGCGGUGCAUUAGCUAGUUGGUGGGGUAACGGCCUACCAAGGCUGCGAUGCAUAGCCGACCGGAGAGGGUGAUCGGCCACACUGGGACUGAGACACGGCCCAGACUCCUACGGGAGGCAGCAGUAGGGAAUCUUCGGCAAUGGACGCAAGUCUGACCGAGCAACGCCGCGUGAGUGAAGAAGGUUUUCGGAUCGUAAAACUCUGUUGUUAGAGAAGAACAAGGAUGAGAGUGGAAAGUUCAUCCCUUGACGGUAUCUAACCAGAAAGCCACGGCUAACUACGUG